AUGGGCAGACAUGAAUUAUGAAACCACUCACGUAGGUUGAGAGGUUGCCUGGAGCUGGGGAAGGAUGGCCACCAGUGUCUCCGCAGGCUGGCUGGGGGUGGGCUCGCUCCCCCGUCAGCACGGAGGGUCCGCGGACAGGCAUUUCAGUCCUGGAGUGUAUGUAUGCUCGCGUGUUGGUGAAUUAGAUUUCUCAGCACGGAUCAUGGUGGGCUCACGGGAGACCAUCUCCAGAGUGCUGCUUUUCUGUGGGUCCUCAGUCGCUGCCAGUACAAUGCUGCCUGGGGACAAGGGACAAAGCCCCGGUCCCAGGCCCUGAUCUGCUCUCUCCUCACUCGGGCCAUGAUACAGGGCAAAUGACUCUCUCUCCUGUGUGGGCCUUCGGCUUCCCCUUCUACCGGAUGAUCUGUGGGGCCCUUCCAGCUCUGCUGUUUUUCAGGAUUUUCUGAAAGAUGCUUCUGGACUUUGGAUGUGCAGCGUGCUAGGGAGCUCUUGGUUUUGAAGUUUCCCUUCUGAGGAUUACCUUCAUUUAUUGGGCCUCUGGUUGCUGAAACUUACCAUCAAGAAAGAGCAGACUGAAGUUCUUUUUCUUCCCACAGAUGUGAUGCUUAAAUAAAAUUCAGUUUCCUGGA